rnacentral:rRNA from 1 species
AACUUUCAACAACGGAUCUCUUGGUUCUGGCAUCGAUGAAGAACGCAGCGAAAUGCGAUAAGUAAUGUGAAUUGCAGAAUUCAGUGAAUCAUCGAAUCUUUGAACGCACAUUGCGCCCCGUGGUAUUCCGCGGGGCAUGCCUGUUCGAGCGUCAUUAUA